rnacentral:rRNA from 1 species
AUACGGAGGAUGCAGGCGUUAUCCGGAUUUAUUGGGUUUAAAGGGUGCGUAGGCGGGACUGUAAGUCAGGGGUGAAAUACUGCAGCUUAACUGUAGCAUUGCCUUUGAAACUGCCGUUCUUGAGUACAGUUGAGGUAGGCGGAAUGUGGUGUGUAGCGGUGAAAUGCAUAGAUAUACCACAGAACGCCGAUUGCGAAGGCAGCUUACUAAGCUGUUACUGACGCUGAGGCACGAAAGCGUGGGGAUCAAACAGGAUUAGAUACCCUGGUAGUCCGCACAGUAAACGAUGAAUACUUGUUUUCGGCGAUAUAAUGUCGGAGGCAAAGCGAAAGCGAUAAGUAUUCCACCUGGGGAGUACGCCGGCAACGGUGAAACUCAAAUGAAUUGGCGGGG